UUACGUCCACAUCACGUUGACAUACCGAUUUCCUUACGAUCAACAACGUUAAGCAACGUCGAUUCUGGUCAGUAUUGAGAUGGGUGACCGUUUGGGAAUACCAGGUGCUGUAAG